ensembl:snRNA U1 U1 spliceosomal RNA
GUACUUACCUUGCAGGGGAGAGACCAUGGUCACGAAGGUGGUUUUCCCAGGGCUAAUCUCCUUUGCAUUCCAGAUGUGCUGACCCCAGCCAUAUCCCAAACAUGGGAAACUCGACUGCCUAAUUUGUAGCAGUGGGGGGACUGCAUUCACGCUCUCUCCUG